GUAAAUCUCGUGGGAUCAACGUAAACUUCUUGUCACCAACUAUUGAUUUUCGAAGUUUUAAAUUCAACGCGUAUUCCGGGCGAAAUUCCCUAAGUAUACCCUUCGCGAUAGUUUUCGCAAGCCAGUUGACGACAAGAAUAACGUGUAAAGCAGAAACUAUACACCUAUAUUGCAAUGGACUACUUUAAAAUGUAUAUAAGCAGUUCUAAUACCUAUAUUUUAGGCAGCUACAGGUAAGCAUACGCUAGAUCAGCCCUUGUUUUUUUUUACCCGUAAGCAAUA